CCCCCCCCCAAAGUCCCUUAACCUUGGGCCUCAGUGCCCUUAUUUCAAAAAUAAGUGUGGUUACCUAGGUCGCCUAAAUUCCUUUUCAUCUCCAAGUCUUUGAAUCGAACUAAAGCAGCCUUUAUUGUUAAAGCAGCCCAAACCUGUGAUAUUAUCACACACAACAUUUGUAAUAGCAGGCUUUAUGGGAGAAAUGUUUUUUUUUCAUCGUGUAACAGUUUUAACUUCCUCAAGUAUCUGCAAAAAGUACAUUUUUUUCGACUUGCAAGAGAAAAACGAGUGCCUCUUGUGGAGCUAUUCCUCUAAAGUCAAUGUUGCAGGUUGCUGUCAAGUGAAGCCAGAUGCUAUUUACUUAGGCCUGUUUGGCUCCCAGGUUGCGCUGCCUCCUGGGGCUUUGCUGGUGGAAGGUAAGAACCAGAAGAGGUUUCAGACACAGUCCUUCUCCCAGGGCCUUGUGUCACAUGUCUCACUCGUUUCCGUCCAAGAACAUUUUCCUUUUUUGCAGCUAAGGGGUGCAUCGGGUUUCUCCAACUCAAGCCAGCAUUUUGGCUGACAAACUUGAAAGUCAGAGCCACGACUUUCUUCUUCUCCCUUUCCCAAGUCUCUGCAGUAACUCCGCCCCUUCUCAGGUUCAGUCGGCUUCUCACCUCUCGCUACCGUCUCCUCUUCCCCCUUCCUCCCACCUUCCCGACUGCUGUGAAGACCCAGACAAGUUAAAGCUUUAAAUCGGAGCCAUGCCCUGGUGGAUGCUACUGCGCAUGCUCAGAGAGCCGGCUUCUGGGUCACGCCGGAUUUCUCCGCGGUGGCCGUGGCGGCGCUGUGCGCGCUCCCGGACAUAACACGUGCGCGCGCGCGAGGCGAGCCUCUGAGCGCGCUCCCGAGUAUAGUGGAGGGGCGGGGGGGAGUGGAUGUGGCGGUGCUGCGUGCUCCCGGGCACAGUGACGGGGGCGGGGGCGCGCGCUCGGGGCGCGACGCCGCGGACGAGGGGACGGUCGGAGCUCGCUCCCGCGGAAGGAGGUGUGGGGUUGGACCCAGGCGGCGUGCGGUUCGGGGCUGAGGGUUGGGGUGGGGGGGAAGGGGGCCCGGGAGUCUGCGGUCUCCCCUGCUCGUGGGUCCGCGCGGCUGCAGGCGGCCUGCACCGCUCGGGGGCCGACGCCGGGGCGGCUGCCUCUGGGAGAUGGCAAUCCUCGGCUCCGAGGGGUGAGGAGACCCGCCGCCGGCUGCUGAAGGAAGAGAAGGAGGCGCCGCCGCCGCCGCCACCUCUUGGGCAGGCAGGCGGACGGGCGAGGCUGGGCUAA
rnacentral:lncRNA from 1 species